UAAAACGACUCUCGGCAACGGAUAUCUCGGCUCUCGCAUCGAUGAAGAACGUAGCGAAAUGCGAUACUUGGUGUGAAUUGCAGAAUCCCGUGAACCAUCGAGUCUUUGAACGCAAGUUGCGCCCGAAGCCUUCGGGCCGAGGGCACGUCUGCCUGGGCGUCACGC
rnacentral:rRNA from 12 species